rnacentral:rRNA from 1 species
CCUACGGGGGGCAGCAGUGGGGAAUAUUGGGCAAUGGAGGAAACUCUGACCCAGCAACGCCGCGUGAAUGAUGAAUGUCUUCGGAUUGUAAAGUUCUUUUCUAAGGGAAGAAAAAAGUGACGGUACCUUAGGAAUAAGCCUCGGCUAACUACGUGCCAGCAGCCGCGGUAAUCCGUAGGAGGCAAGCGUUAUCCGGAAGGACUGGGCGUAAGGGGUGCGUAGGUGGUUUGACAAGUUGGUAGCGUAACUCCGAGGCUUAACCUCGGCACUACUACAAAAACUGGUGGACUCGAGUGCAGGAGGGGCAAAUGGAAUUCCUAGUGUAGCGGUGGAAUGCGUAGAUAUUAGGAGGAACACCAGUGGCGAAGGCGAUUUGCUGGACUGUAACUGACACUGAGGCACGAAAGCGUGGGGAGCAAACAGGAUUAGAUACCCCGGUAGUC